rnacentral:snRNA from 1 species
UACUAAUGAUACUCUAUGAAUAU